GACGAACGCUGGCGGCGUGCCUAAUACAUGCAAGUAGAACGCUGAAGAGAGGAGCUUACUCUUCUUGGAUGAGUUGCGAACGGGUGAGUAACGCGUAGGUAACCUGCCUUGUAGCGGGGGAUAACUAUUGGAAACGAUAGCUAAUACCGCGUAACAAUGGAUGACACAUGUCAUUUAUUUGAAAGGGGCAAUUGCUCCACUACAAGAUGGACCUGCGUUGUAUUAGCUAGUAGGUGAGGUAAUGGCUCACCUAGGCGACGAUACAUAGCCGACCUGAGAGGGUGAUCGGCCACACUGGGACUGAGACACGGCCCAGACUCCUACGGGAGGCAGCAGUAGGGAAUCUUCGGCAAUGGGGGCAACCCUGACCGAGCAACGCCGCGUGAGUGAAGAAGGUUUUCGGAUCGUAAAGCUCUGUUGUAAGUCAAGAACGGGUGUGAGAGUGGAAAGUUCACACUGUGACGGUAGCUUACCAGAAAGGGACGGCUAACUACGUG
rnacentral:rRNA from 1 species